CAGACUGGUUUCUGGUGGUCCUGCCUGCUUUGAAGUCUAUCUGAAAUUCGUGUUCAUGAGAAGAGUGAAGUUGAGAUCCUGGAAGAAGAGGAAGGGACAUGUUCUGUGCAGAGGAAAUAGCCUGUGAAAAAAAUGUCCCCUGGGUAGAAAAUGACACAGAAGACAGAACUGACUGUGGAGAAGUGUGGCUGGAGGAGAAAGAGCUGAGGAGACAUGAGGAGAUCAUGCACCCUGGGCCACCUAAUUCUCCAUGAUUGUGCUUCGUGUCAAAAUAAGAGAAGAUUCACUGGGUAUGAAGGCACAACACAUGCUUGUGAUCCCAGGACUUGGGAGGUUUGGGCAGGAGGACCACAAGUUUAAGGUCACUCACAAGAAUGACUGAUGCCUUCUUAUAUUCUGAAAAAUGCCAACAAGCUAAUGAAGUCCAUUUCAUCUUUGAAGCCCCGGCCCAUCAAAACUAAUGGUUCCCCUGUCUACUGAAGCCAGAAGCAAUGCUUGAUUCCUUCCAUGUCCCCUCAUCUCCAAGGUGACUGAAAGGUUGUAGCUGAACAAAGCAUUUGUGAAGUUGCACUGAUUUCUGAAUAUAGUUAAAUUUCAGAAAUGUUCCUCAAUGCCAUAAACAAUACAAUCCUGAAGGAAUUGUCCUCUGGAUUAAUUGGUGAGAGAAUAGAAUGAGAGAGAAAGCAAACUCUAUAAACUAUUUGAUAAGAGUCUCAGAAUCCUGUGCCCCACAAGCUCACUACUGUAAACAUUACAUUUUAUCCUAGUGUUUGCCACUGUGGUCUGUGUUCAGUUCAAUCCUAAAUGUCACACUAGUCCUACUGUUAGAUCAAGUAUUUCAGAGGUCAUCUAAAUUAAGGUUGGUAAGGUUGGAGACAAGGUCUGGGAAAGGAGUUCCUGGCAUAGAUCUCAAGAACAUGAAAAUUCCAUCUGUGCCUGGAUUUAUUUACUCCAAGAAGAUGCAGGGCAGCAGAACAUGGGGUAUUUGAUGGCACCAUUAAAAUAGCACCAGGACAACUCCCCAACAAGGACAGUGAUUCUUGGGGAAAGAAAUCGGUGGGGUCGGUGACACUCAUUCCCAGACUUGGAGGCCUGGGCUGUCUCUGGAGACUCCAGGAAAUCCAGGAACUACUAUCAUAUCAUCUCUGACCACGGGUUUGGUCUUCACAGGUACAAACUGCUCUUUCACCACACAUGGGCAAAUAGUUUAAUUACAAUAUAAGUAUUUGAAUUUAUAAGAAAUAACAUAUAACAAUACAUAACAAAUAAAAUAGAUAAAAUGAAGUAGGGGCACCUUUUUAAAAAUGUCUAAGUUUUUAUUUUUAAAAUCCCAGCUUCUUGAGUUGAGGACCUCAGGGGCAUCAUUUCCAUUAAAAAUAUGG